GCAAACAGCCUGUCUUAACAGAACUACUGGAAUGGCUAAUAAUGCCUUCCCUACCCAUGGAAUUGACCUGCAAGUCAACAGUUUGAGGGAUGAGUGCAGUCUGUAUCCUUGAGCAAAGGAGGAUCAAGGCCUGGAUCUGGGAUGCAUUUGCUGUCUCCAAGGGAUCAUGCUACUCUCUUCAUUAUGUCUGUUUUCCCUGGAUACUAAUAAAAAAAUACCAAUUACCACACAAAGAUGCCUCAUUCACCAUCUGAACGACCUAUUAGAUGAUAUCUAAGUGCUUUUUGAUAAGGUUGUGAGUAUUGAGACAGCCUCCAGAAGGUAACAGUACUUCUUAACUUAUAAGACUAUCAUUAACUACACGUAUGUGGCCUUCUUUGUCUAUAUAUAUAUAUAUAUCAGAAUAGUUACAAAAUGUAUCUGAUGUUGGAGAAGCUCUUUUUCUCCUCUAAACUGACCACAAACAAUAAACACUGGUCACUGAGUUACCUGUUCA
rnacentral:lncRNA from 1 species